rnacentral:rRNA from 1 species
AGUGAACGCUGGCGGUAUGCCUAACACAUGCAAGUCGAACGGCAGCACAGUAAGCUUUCUCUCUUACGGGUGGCGAGUGGCGGACGGGUGAGGCAUACAUCGGCUUCUACUAUUUCGUGGGUGAUUUCGUAGGGACACUGACGCUAAUAGCGCAUACGUCCUACGGGUGAAAGCAGUGGAUCUUCGGACCUUUGGCGAUUCAAUUAGCUGAUGUCGGAUUAGCUAGUUGGCGAGGUAACGGCCCACCAAGGCGACGAUGCGUAGCUGGUCUGAGAGGAUGAUCAGCCACACUGGAACUGAGACACGGUCCAGACUCCUACGGGAGGCAGCAGUAGGGAAUAUUGGACAAUGGGCGAAAGCCUGAUGCAGCCACACCGCGUGAGUGAAGAAGGCCUUCGGGUUGUAAAGCCCUUUUGUUGGGAAAGAACAGAAGCAGGUUAAUACCCGGCUGUUCUGACGGUACCCAAAGAAUAAGCACCGGCUAACUUCGUG